rnacentral:misc_RNA from 1 species
UCCCCCUUAACGGAGGCAGUUUCCUGUGACAAAUUUAACACAGGAUGAGGGUUGCGCUCGUUAACCGACUGAACGGGACACUUCACAGCACGAGCUGACGACAACCGUGCAGCAUCUGUCAUCUGGUUCCUUGCGGCACAGCUCUGUUUCCAGAGCCUUCCAGAGAUGUCAAGCCUUGGUAAGGUUCUUCGCUUAGUAUCGAAUUAAACCACACGCUCCACCGCUUGUGCGGGUCCCCGUCAAUUCCUUUGAGUUUUAAACUUGCGUUCGUACUCCCCAGGCGGCUGACUUAACGCGUUAGCUUCGGUCCAAAAGGGGGUCGAUACCCUCCAAGACCUAGUCAGCAUCGUUUACAGUGUGGACUAC